UCCGCGUUACCGCGGCAGUCCUAUUAGAAAAAUCCAACUAAUAAUGAGGGUUGCGCUCGUUAAUGGACUUAACCAAACAUCUCACGACACGAGCUGACGACGGCCAUGCAUCACCUGUCACUGGGUUCCAAAAGGCACUCUCUGGUUUCCCAGAAAUUCCCAGGAUGUCAAGCCUUGGUAAGGUUCUACGCGUAUCCUCGAAUUAAACCACACGCUCCACCGCUUGUGCGGGUCCCCGUCAAUUCCUUUAAGUUUUAGCCUUGCGGCCGUACUCCCCAGGCGGGAUGCUUAACGCGUUAGCUUCGCUACCGAACGGGUCGAUACGUCCGACAGCUAGCAUCCAUCGUUUACGGCGUGGACUAC
rnacentral:misc_RNA from 1 species